rnacentral:lncRNA from 1 species
GUAAAAACGCUGUACAAAAUAUCGCUGUAUAAGAGGUGCUGUAUAAUUUUUUGAACAGCACAUGUUUAAGCUUUGAUAAAUAUCGGUAUAAAACACGGCGAAUUGACCUGUUUAAGGUCCGUAGACAGAAGGCUUGAACAGGGGGUUGUACAAGAUACCGGCACAUGUAAAGCGCAUGCGUACGCGUGCGCAGUGCUAUGCUAGUGGUCGGAAGAUGGCGUUGAGUAUGUUCGACUCGGAGACUGCUGCAGUGCACUGGAAAAAUCGUGUUUAAUCUCCGUUUUAGAAAAUGAAAGAUUUGGGGGUGACAAACCUGCUUCAGGAGUGGGACUUCCCACAUUUAGUUCCAAUCUUUAGAGUUAAAUGUUGCAGAAGAUGAGCACGAAGUCACCUACUGGAUGCAAUAUUACUCAUCACCUGACAACAUUGUUGUUAAUGUGACGAACCUCGGUACUGAGAUAUGAGUUGACUAUAGGAAACCCGCGACCAAGCACAGCAGAAAUUCUUGACAAAUAUCUACAGCUUUUGGGAAUGAUUGAUCAAGACUUUGAUUUAACAAUUGAUGCAGCUCCUGGUGCCCUUUUCACAAUGUGGCCAAAGUUGUCCAGGCAGACUUUGGAAUUUGCGGAGAAGAUUAAUCCAGGGUAUAGAAAGAUCCUAGGGGCUGGAGUGGACCAGAAAAUGACGCAGAGUCAACAAUGAAGAAAAUUUGGCUUUCAGUACUUCCUGGGAUUUUGAUCGGCAGAACGAAAGGGGAAUGAGGCAAAUUAAAUGUGCCGUACUUCAAAGUCUUGAAUCUUUCAUCAAUCUCCAAUUAGAAGGAGCAUGAACAAAAAGAAGAUGAACAGGAAUUGACAAUGGCGCAUUCCAUACCUGGGAGUGAUUGCACAGUGGCACCCUUGGACCUAAUUUCACCCUGACAUCAAGUCUGUUUUAAGGAGAACCAUGAGAGAAAUUAAUAAAUUAAAGUUUGCCGAAUAUCAAAGAAUAACAGAGUUAUGAGGCUUCAAAGUUUUAAAUUUGUGACAUGACAUGCGAGCAGCUCCCAAUAUGUCAAUCAUGUAAUAUAAAUUCCAUAAAUUGCCAUUUUUAAUGGUUUUCAUGAUAAUUAAAUGGGUUUUUAUCAGAAGCUUGUAUGAAAUAAUGUUUCUGAUAACAUUGAAUCCACAGGUAAAAUCAUUUUCCAAUUUCCCUAGAAAAGGCACUUGUAUAGAAUUGAUAUCACAUAAAAUAUGGGGAGCUGCUCGCAUGUGAAGUCACAAAUUUAAAACUUCAUAACUCUUAUUCUUGGUGGAUUUUCACCAACUAACAUGCAAUGUCAGGAUGAACCUUGCCUUUAAACCUUGUAUUGGCAGCCUUUCAUUGACAUUUACAUACAGUAUUUUAGGUUUUGUGAGCAAGUAUAUGAAAAAGGUGCUAAUUAACACCUACUUCCCCUUCUUAACCCUAACCAGGCCGGGGGGGGGGGGUUAAAACAACCUUCCCCCAACAUUAUCUGCGAUCAUUCCUCCGCGGGAGAUUUGUUGACCCUGCCACUCUCAGAGUUUAUACUAAGUCUCGCGCAUCUUUUGAGACCAAAUUUACGAUGCCCAGGUACGUUGUCCCGAAAUUAUGCAACAUUUCGUAAGU